ACAAAACAGAAGACGAAUACGAAACCUCAAACAGUAUCAAAUUAUAAAUUCGCGGGCGGUGAUGUUUAUGGAUCCUUAUGCUUUAUUAAUUAAACCAAUGCUUUGGUAAUACUCUUGACUUGUCGAAUAACUGCAUUGACGGAUUUGUAACAACACAAACACCUGGUUUCAUAUUGGGAUUUGAGUGUGAGCUUUGGAUUGCUGUUAUACAAUGUGCAUCACCAAAAAGUAUGCAGUCAAGAGAAGAAAUUAAUAAUUUCUACCUGCAGAAAGUACUUACAGAUGUUGAAAAGAAACUUGUUGAUCUUUUUAUCCAAGAAUGGAACACGCAUUACAAAGAAUCCCUCGGAGAUUGGGAAAAUACAAACUAAGUGGGAUUGUACGACGUUAUUUGCAGCAAUAUUGCAUUCCAAAUCAAUUGGAACAAAAAUUGAUCCAAAAGUUAGAGAUGCUUUGAAUGAACUUCGUGAAGUAAGAAACACAUUCAUCCAUAAAUAUAAAGGAAAAGUUUCUGAUGACAAAUUUCAAAAAAGGCUUUGUAAUAUUGAAAAGUCAUUUCAAGAUCUAGGAUUUUCAUUUAACGAAAUUAAUGAAAUAAAAAGUGAACGAAACAAAUUUAGUUCUUUUCAAGUACUUCCUUGCAAACCAAAUCACGAUGUGGUUAAA